AUUGAACGCUGGCGGCAGGCCUAACACAUGCAAGUCGAACGGUAACAGGAAACAGCUUGCUGUUUCGCUGACGAGUGGCGGACGGGUGAGUAAUGUCUGGGAAACUGCCUGAUGGAGGGGGAUAUCUACUGGAAACGGUAGCUAAUACCGCAUAACGUCGCAAGACCAAAGAGGGGGACCUUCGGGCCUCUUGCCAUCGGGUGUGCGCAGAUGGGAUUAGCUAGUAGGUGGGGUAACGGCUCACCUAGGCGACGAUCCCUAGCUGGUCUGAGAGGAUGACCAGCCACACUGGAACUGAGACACGGUCCAGACUCCUACGGGAGGCAGCAGUGGGGAAUAUUGCACAAUGGGCGCAAGCCUGAUGCAGCCAUGCCGCGUGUAUGAAGAAGGCCUUCGGGUUGUAAAGUACUUUCAGCGGGGAUGAAGGGAGUAAAGUUAAUACCUUUGCUCAUUGACGUUACCCGCAGAAGAAGCACCGGCUAACUCCGUG
rnacentral:rRNA from 1 species